rnacentral:rRNA from 1 species
UGUACACCAAGCUUUCUUUAAAAGACCUCGUAUCAGGCAAGACUACCCGCUGAACUUAAGCAUAUCAAUAAGCGGAGGAAAAGAAACCAACAGGGAUUGCCCUAGUAACGGCGAGUGAAGCGGCAAAAGCCCAAAUUUGAAAUCCUCUUUUGAGGAGUUGUAAUUUGGAGAUGGAGUGCUGGACUCAGCUCUGUGGAAGUUGGCUGGAAAGCCGCGCCUUGGAGGGUGAUAGCCCCGUGCCACGGAGGUCCUGUGUCUGUGUAGUACUCUUUCUACGAGUCGCGUUGUUUGGGAAUGCAGCGCUAAGUGGGUGGUAAAUUCCAUCUAAGGCUAAAUAUUGGCGAGAGACCGAUAGCGAACAAGUACUGUAAAGGAAAGAUGAAAAGCACUUUGAAAAGAGAGUGAAAUAGCACGUGAAAUCGUUGAAGUGGAAGGGCUUAAAGCUACACACCUUCUUCGGAAGGGGCUAACAUCAGUUUUGCCGGAUGGAUAAAUGGUAAAGAAAGUGGCAUUUUCGGAUGUGUUAUAGCUUUAUCAAAUACGUCCCGGCGGGAUUGAGGACCGCGCUUUAUGCAAGGAUGUUGGCGUAAUGGUUUUAAGCCACCCGUCUUGAAACACGGACCAAGGAGUCUAUUGCUCAUGCGAGUGUUUGGGUGUUAAACUCGCAACGCGAAAUGA